GGGUUACGUAAACCUAUAUGAAUGGGUGACAAUGAAAGGGCAAGUCUUCAUUAAGUAGGAGGACCAUGUUUUAAAAAGGCAACAACUUUGCCCCAGACAAAUAGAAUGAUUGACUAUGGGACAAGAUGGACAAACUAAAAUGAAUCACCGAACAAUGUUAAAUCAGUGACAAAAACAAGAGACAAAUAAACCCAUUCAUUUACUUCAUCCUGGGGCUGCUUUAGAUUUAGGCCUUUGAUGUGGUUUAUGCAGCCUCACACGUAUAGUAUACGGAGACAGUGGCAGGCAUGAAGGGUUCUGGAGCUGGACCCACAAUAUCUUCAAGUUCUGAAAGCUGAGAAGUACAAUGUCAAGGGACUACAUCAGGUGAAAGUCUUCUUGCUGGUGGGAACUUUCUACAGAAUCUCCAGGUGGUACAGAGUAUCACAUGGUGCAGAACCCUCAUGAUCCAAUCUCCUAUUAAGGGCCCCACUUCUC
rnacentral:lncRNA from 1 species